rnacentral:rRNA from 1 species
GCGUAAGCGCACGCAGGCGGUCUGUUAAGUCUGAUGUGAAAUCCCCGGGCUCAACCUGGGAACUGCAUUUGAAACUGGCAGGCUUGAGUCUCGAAGAGGGGGGUGGAAUUCCAUGUGUAGCGGUGAAAUGCGUAGAGAUCUGGAGGAAUACCGGUGGCGAAGGCGAUCCCCUGGACUAAGACUGACGCUCAGGUGCGAAAGCGUGGGGAGCAAACAGGAUUAGAUACCCUGGUAGUCCACGCCGUAAACGAUGACUACUUGGAGGUUGAGCCCUUGAGCCCUGUCUUCCGGAGCUAACGCGUUAAG